rnacentral:rRNA from 1 species
AACGGAGUAGCAAUACUUAGUGGCGGACGGGUGAGUAACGCGUAAGAAUCUAGCUUCAGGUUCGGGACAACAAUUGGAAACGAUUGCUAAUACCGGAUAUGCCUACGGGUAAAAGGCUUGCUGCCUGAAGAAGAGCUUGCGUCCGAUUAGCUAGUUGGUGGGGUAAAGGCUUACCAAGGCGGCGAUCGGUAGCUGGUCUGAGAGGAUGACCAGCCACACUGGGACUGAGACAAGGCCCAGACUCCUACGGGAGGCAGCAGUGGGGAAUUUUCCGCAAUGGGCGAAAGCCUGACGGAGCAAUACCGCGUGAGGGAAGAAGGCUCUUGGGUUGUAAACCUCUUUUCUCAGGGAAUAAAAAAAUGAAGGUACCUGAGGAAUAAGCAUCGGCUAACUCCGUGCCAGCAGCCGCGGUAAUACGGAGGAUGCAAGCGUUAUCCGGAAUGAUUGGGCGUAAAGCGUCCGCAGGUGGUACAACAAGUCUAGUGUCAAAGACCGGGGCUCAACCCCGGGAAGGC